UACGUAGGGUGCGAGCGUUGUCCGGAAUUAUUGGGCGUAAAGGGCUCGUAGGCGGUUUGUCGCGUCGGGAGUGAAAACCCGGGGCUUAACCCUGGGCUGGCUUCCGAUACGGGCAGACUAGAGGUAUGCAGGGGAGAACGGAAUUCCUGGUGUAGCGGUGAAAUGCGCAGAUAUCAGGAGGAACACCGGUAGCGGAAGGCGGUCUCUGGGCAUUACCUGACGCUGAGGAGCGAAAGCAUGGGGAGCGAACAGG
rnacentral:rRNA from 1 species